CAAACUCCCUCCCUUGCUUCGCUGUACCCUCCCCCAACUCUGCACCCCUCCCCCCAAUCUCUCAGGCUGUGUGGCCUCUCCUCCUUCUUCCCCAGGCGGCCCCAUCCUCAGCCCUGUCCUCAUCACCCUCCCCCAAAGUGGACACAAGCCCCUCAUGGCUUCAGCUGCCAAGAUCCAAAACAUCAACCUGAGGUCACAACAGCAACAUUUAAGGAACUUGCGUGGGUCAGGCCCCGCCGUAGAGGUGUUCCGGAGGUAUCAGCCAGCUGGUUGAACCUCACCACAGCGCAGUGAGUAGAUGCUGUUACACGAGGAACACGAGGCCCAGAGAGGUGAAGUAAUUUUCUGUAGGGGGCAGAGCCAGGGUUCAAACCCAGGCAUCUCCCAUACUUCCCUUCCCCUUGUCACCCCUCUGACUUCCAGCCCAGACCUCCCACCCUGGCUUCAGGCUGGACCACCCCUCCCAGUUUCUCUUGAGCCCCCAGCAAGGGGGUCACCAAGCCUGUCUGGCUCCUACCAUAGCUCCCAUCUCCGUGUCAAGAAUUGUUUGUUCCAGGUCUCCCGCUAAACCUAGACUGGGAGCAUCUCAGGUCCCCUUCAGUCACGGCCAUGUCCCCACACUCAGCCCGGCAAGCUUGGCACACAGUAGGGCCUGAGUCCCUGUUCUAGAAGGAACAAAGGCUUUCCAGCUCAGAAUCUGGCCAGAGCCUCCCCCACAGUGCCCUCUGCUGGUCAGACCAAACACUGCCCUGGGGCCUUCCAAACAUCAGCGCGCAACUGAUCCCCGUCACCCUAAUAACCCCCUGGGUUUAAAAAGCUCCUUUCUUCCUCUGAGCUCAAAGCACUUUCCCAUCUGUGAUCUCCCUGGCUUGGGACCAGCUGCAGCAUUUCUCUCCCCACUUUACAGAAGCAAACCGAGGCCUGGAGAGGGCGAGCCCCGGCGUGCUGCUGGCAGAUCCAGAAAAGAGCUUGCUUCCCGGAAAGGCCCCAGGCAGGGCUGGGCCUCCAGCGAAACAGGACUGGGGAGGCUGGUCCGGGUCUCAACAGCACCUGAGACUGGGAGACUGGAAGGAAGCUGGGUGUGCAGAGGAGGAAACAGGAUGGGGCUUCCUGUUGCCCUUUGGAUAAAGGGCAGAUUUCCGUGUGAGACCCUGUGGAAACCGGCUCCGUUAACCCGCUCCUCCCGCUCUGUGCUCCAGCCACCACCACAGCCCUCUCGUCCUCCUGGGAGUCUGUCCCUCCUCCCACCUCCCGACCCUUCAGACUGUUGUUGCCCAUGCCACUCAGGCUGCCAGGCCGAGUCCCACUUCCCCCUUCGGCUGUGGACUCGGUCACCAUCUCUUCCCCCAGAUGCCUCCUGGGGCGCCUAAAGCCGGGUAAGGCCCCUCUCUCCCACAGUCAACAGCUCUCUCCUAGCACUUCUCGGGGUUGUGAUUCUCAACUUACCUGGGCCGUUACCGGAUUAAUGUCUCCCUCCCUCCAGCUCUUCUCCCUCCCCCAGUGAAGAGGAACCUCAUCUGUCUCAUUGAUGCUUAAUCAGUGCUACGCAGGGCUGGGCACAUACUAGGUGCUCAGUAAACAUCAGUCAGAUGAAGGAAAGGUUGCUUGAGUCAGUCUUGGCCCUAAUCAGUUUCUAGAUGUGUGACCUUGGACAAGUCUCACUUUCUGUCAUUCAGUUAACGAAUACUUACCGAGCACCCAUUAGGCACUGUUCUGGGCAUACCCGUCAAACGCAGAUCUGCUGGGCUUCCAACUGCUUUCCUGAGAAACCAGUACUGAGAUGUGUGAGGCCUGGAGAUGGGCAACCCGGAAGUCUUGUCCUCUCCCACUGGCCCCCCACCGAGACAUCAGAAAAGCCAGUCCCCUGUACGCCCCUCAGUAUCCCUGCCUCGAUACCUUUGUGCACGCAGAGCACUCCCCCAUCUUUGCCUGCCGAGGUCCCGCUCAACCUUCAAAUUCCCACGGCAGGGUCACCAACACCUUGAAGGCAUCCCCACGAUCCUUGGCAGAAGCAGUUCUGCUCUUACAACACUCGGCUGGCAUGGGGAUACACCAUUGUCCACACUGACCCAAGCUCUUUAUGCACAUGGCUCCCCCCGCCCCGGCCAUGCCACCCCGGAUCCCAGAAGCACCUGGGCUUAGACUGAGUGUGAUUCAUCACUGUAAGCGUCCGGUUGAUUGAUCUUUCUCUGGUCAGCCCCUGCAGCAUCUACUCUCCACGCUCCAGCGCCCAGCCCAGGGCCAGGCACUCAGCGCUGGCUAGUGAAUGUCUGUUGCUAAGAACAGCAGCGGCAGGCCAUAGAAGCAGGGGCUCUGGAUGGAUCCCCAAAGUCCUGAUGGGAGAAUGGGAUUCAGGGCACCGCCUGGGCACUCUCUCCCCUGGUCCCCUCACUCACGAGGGCCUCUUUCUCUCCCUGCUCUCCCACAGAUGGUGAAGCAAGGAGGGGACUGGGGGGAGGGUAACAGAAGGUCACAGGGCAGAUGGACUGUAGGCUGCUCUGGGAAAGGACAGCUUGCCCCCGGGGAAGGACAACCACACAUCUUAGAGCUGUCUGGGAAUCUGGGAAUCAUCAGCUUCAGCAAAAUUCCAAGGACUAGGAAGGUGAAUGUGGGCGCACAAGGGGGAGCGGCCCACCCCUGCGAGGCCCUGUUUGCAGUGAGUGCCAAGCUGGGCCGACAGGCAGGCGACCCCGGUUUGACUCUCUAUCAAUUUGCUGUGUGACCUUGGGCAAGCCCUUGCCCCUCUCUGAGCACCAGUCUGCACACGGACAGGAUUGAGUCAGUGUGGAGCUGACCAGCACGAAUGUCAGAGGCUGGGAUAGCCAGGGCCACCCCACCGCACCCUGGUCAUGUCUCUGAGACGGUGAGCGGGGGACUCUGCGUGGGGCCACUGCCCAGCCUCAUCCACCUGUCCCUGUCUUAGGCUAAAGGGGCACAGUGGGCUCCCCAGGCAUCCUCUCCCCUGCGAACUGCCCCGUUCUCGGCUGGGAUCCCCCCCCCCCCCGUCCCUCCCACCCCCAGAGCUGCUAGGCUGCCAGCUGGGAACAUCAGGAGCUGUGACCAGCGUCCUGCGUCAUGGUGAGUCAGAGCCAUCCCUCCAAGCCAAGCCCAGUCACCCCACGACAAGAAGAGAAAGGACACCUUGCCCCCCCUGCCCCAGGCCAUACAGGAAGGGUUCCUCUCUUCUUUCCUUUUCCGCACUAGCCAGGCCCACACCUGGCACUGUGCAAGGCACGGAGGCAUCCAGGGUGACCUGGACAGACUGUCCCUUCAGAGCUAUCCUCCCUCAGGCCAGAGUUGGGGGGUGGGGGCUGCUCUGAGAGGGGCAGCACAUGGGGGGCUCUGAGCACACGUGGCUGAACUUAGCACUGACUCUAAGGCUGGCACAUCUCUCUCGUUCACACCAGCACAUAGUAGGCACUUCACGCACAUUCAUUGAAUGAAGAUUCCUCAGGCUUCCCGUGGGCGUAGAGAAACUUGGUGAGGCAAGAACGCAUCACACCUGUGUUCACCGUCACUGUUACUCAUUUUUAGCCCUAAGUACCUAC